rnacentral:rRNA from 1 species
UGGGGAAUAUUGGACAAUGGGGGGAACCCUGAUCCAGCCAUGCCGCGUGUGUGAAGAAGGCCUUAUGGUUGUAAAGCACUUUAAGCGAGGAGGAGGGUACUGGUAUUAAUACUACCAGCUACUGGACGUUACUCGCAGAAUAAGCACCGGCUAACUCUGUGCCAGCAGCCGCGGUAAUACAGAGGGUGCGAGCGUUAAUCGGAUUUACUGGGCGUAAAGCGUGCGUAGGCGGCUAAUUGAGUCGGAUGUGAAAUCCCCGAGCUUAACUUGGGAAUUGCAUUCGAUACUGGUGAGCUAGAGUGUGGGAGAGGAUGGUAGAAUUCCAGGUGUAGCGGUGAAAUGCGUAGAGAUCUGGAGGGAUACCGAUGGCGAAGGCAGCCAUCUGGCCUAACACUGACGCUGAGGUACGAAAGCAUGGGGAGCAAACAGG